AUGCUGUCAUUAUCAGUGUUGCUGCUGCUUUCAGCUACAUUCUGUGGCGUUGGAGGUGUGGAGCUCACUCAGACAGACUCUGUGCUGGUGAAGCCUGGAGAGUCGUUCUCCAUCUCUUGUAAGAUCUCAGUGUCGAGUUAUUGUAUUAACUGGAUACGGCAACCUGCUGGAAAAGCACUGGAAUGGCUCGGAUAUCUGUGUAGCGCUGAUAGCACUGAUCUCAAAGACACGAUGAAGAGCAAGAUCAGUCUCAGCCAGGACAAAUCCAGCAGCACAGUUUAUUUAAGAGGACAAAACUUUCAGGUCGAGGACACGGCUGUGUAUUACUGUAUGUCAGUCUUUGUAAAGAAACUCUCUCACUUUAUACAUUAUAAUCGUCCUCCAGCUUCAUUUAACUCACCGGACAGAUAUUUGAUUAUUGGGAUUCUGCAAAACUGA